rnacentral:rRNA from 1 species
GACGAACGCUGGCGGCGUGCUUAACACAUGCAAGUCGAACGGAAAGGCCCUGCUUUUGUGGGGUGCUCGAGUGGCGAACGGGUGAGUAACACGUGAGUAACCUGCCCUUGACUUUGGGAUAACUUCAGGAAACUGGGGCUAAUACCGGAUAGGAGCUCCUGCUGCAUGGUGGGGGUUGGAAAGUUUCGGCGGUUGGGGAUGGACUCGCGGCUUAUCAGCUUGUUGGUGGGGUAGUGGCUUACCAAGGCUUUGACGGGUAGCCGGCCUGAGAGGGUGACCGGCCACAUUGGGACUGAGAUACGGCCCAGACUCCUACGGGGGGCAGCAGUGGGGAAUAUUGCACAAUGGGCGGAAGCCUGAUGCAGCAACGCCGCGUGCGGGAUGACGGCCUUCGGGUUGUAAACCGCUUUCGCCUGUGACGAAGCGUGAGUGACGGUAAUGGGUAAAGAAGCACCGGCUAACUACGUGCCAGCAGCCGCGGUGAUACGUAGGGUGCGAGCGUUGUCCGGAUUUAUUGGGCGUAAAGGGCUCGUAGGUGGUUGAUCGCGUCGGAAGUGUAAUCUUGGGGCUUAACCCUGAGCGUGCUUUCGAUACGGGUUGACUUGAGGAAGGUAGGGGAGAAUGGAAUUCCUGGUGGAGCGGUGGAAUGCGCAGAUAUCAGGAGGAACACCAGUGGCGAAGGCGGUUCUCUGGGCCUUUCCUGACGCUGAGGAGCGAAAGCGUGGGGAGCGAACAGGCUUAGAUACCCUGGUAGUCCACGCUGUAAACGGUGGGUACUAGGUGUGGGGUCCAUUCCACGGGUUCCGUGCCGUAGCUAACGCUUUAAGUACCCCGCCUGGGGAGUACGGCCGCAAGGCUAAAACUCAAAGGAAUUGACGGGGCCCCGCACAAGCGGCGGAGCAUGCGGAUUAAUUCGAUGCAACGCGUAGAACCUUACCUGGGUUUGACAUGGAUCGGGAGUGCUCAGAGAUGGGUGUGCCUCUUUUGGGGUCGGUUCACAGGUGGUGCAUGCCUGUCGUCAGCUCGUGUCGUGAGAUGUUGGGUUAAGUCCCGCAACGAGCGCAACCCUUGUUCACUGUUGCCAGCACGUUAUGGUGGGGACUCAGUGGAGACCGCCGGGGUCAACUCGGAGGAAGGUGGGGAUGACGUCAAGUCAUCAUGCCCCUUAUGUCCAGGGCUUCACGCAUGCUACAAUGGCUGGUACAGAGAGUGGCGAGCCUGUGAGGGUGAGCGAAUCUCGGAAAGCCGGUCUCAGUUCGGAUUGGGGUCUGCAACUCGACCUCAUGAAGUCGGAGUCGCUAGUAAUCGCAGAUCAGCAACGCUGCGGUGAAAAAGUUCCCGGG